GUGCUCACUUUGGCUCACAUAUACUAAAAUUGGAACAAUACAGAGAUUAGCAUGGCCCCUGCACAAGAAUGGCAUGCAAAAGCAUGAAGCACUCCAAAUUAAA